UUGGGGAGAAAAAACAGAGAGAGAAAAGCAUAAAGGAAGAAAGGAUGAGGCACAAAGAAAAGAGGAGGGAGAGCAGGUGGAUUUUGGGGAAUGCUGGACAAUUGGUCAGGCUUGGUCUGCAGAGGCUCAGAAAUCCUUACCUGGACAUGAGCCUUUGUUUAUAAUUCUUCACUGUUCUAACCCUGAAAAGUACCUCUGUUCUAAUCCUUAAUCUUUCCCCCUUCAGGUCAAGAAUGCCUUUGAGAAUCUGGCAGUAGUUCUGAACCCUGUCCUAGAAAAAUACACUUAUUUACAUACAAUUUUGCAUGCAACUUCAGGGGCUCAAGGACUCUAUGUUAAAAAUACUUAUUCUAGAAGCUCCACUCUGAUUGGGAGACCCAUAAUGGCCAAAGCAAAAACACCUCAAUUGCCAGAUGAAACUAAAAUGAGGGUGGGAUGUGUUGUAUUCAAGUCUUCACAUUGAGCUUUAAUCAUACCAUUGGCUUCAGUGACAGAAUUUAGGGCCUAAGCACCUUCUCCUGGUUACUACCCCAACAGUCAUAUUGGAAGCAAGGCUGGUUACUCCAAGGGGUCCAUUGUGUACAUGGAUGGUUAUUUCGCAGUAAGGGGCCUGUCAAAGACAGGUAACAAUGUGUGAGUCAAAUUAACCCUUUACAGAUCAAUAGGAUUAGUAAAUCCCAUAUACGUAGUAGUUUCCAAAUCUGAAUGUACAUAAGAAUUUCCAGUAUGCUUACCUAAAAUGUAGAUUACUAGUCCAAAAUUUGAGAGUAUGGAUCAGACUGUUUUUCUAAUGAGUUUCUAGAUAAUUCCGAUACAGGAAAUCUCCAAACCAAACGCUGAGACACACUGUUCUCAGAGAACAUUGCAAGCCUGAGAGGCUGAGCUUCUGGUCCCACAGGUCAGCUGAUUAUCUACUCCUUGCAGUGCGAUUCUUGUACACUAGGGGGUAGGACUGAGCACAUAUACAAGGGCACCGCAAGACGAGGUUUGGACUACUGCAUCAAAAAGGCUACCUUUACAGGGGAAAAUAGAAUGAGCAAUGCAGAACAUGAAAGGUAGAGUGCCAGGAGAAACCUUCCAAGGGCCUCGAAGACAGUAGUUCCCAGAGCUGACUUAAAAAUCAUGAUAAAAAACUACCUGGAGCACUUCUUACAAUCCAGAUUCCCGGGCCUCAGGCUAUUAGGAAACGCGCUCACACACACACACCAAGUUUCCUCAGGGAUUCUGAUACACACGCAAGUAUCACAACUUGUUUGUUUAUGGCACUUCAAGCCCAAGGGUAUUUUGAUCACUAUACCAGACCAUUAUCAUAAAGACGCUUCGAAAAACUAAAGUGCCCUUAUAAUUCUAAAGCAAAAAACAGUGAACAUUACCAGGGUUUUCUUCUUCUUUUCUCUUCCUCUUCCUCCCCCUCUUUCUUUUUCAUUGAGGAGGCUAAUUGGAGAAGGUGGGCCACGCUGGAAUGCCCUGAAUGGGUUCCAGAUGGUGAAGUCAUUGGCCUCUUGGCCCAACUGUUCCUCCCUUUUCCCUGGAGUGCUGUACAAAUAUUAUCAUUUUCUGGCUGUGCAGUGACAUAAAAAUGGUUGAGAGGCUCUAGGUCAGGUGUAAAAGAAACUCAUGGAAAGGGAAGAACAGCUCGGUCCAAAAGAAAUUGUGGAGAUACUUUCCGAUUCUCUGCAAGGUGGAGAAUCCCAAAUCAGAUGCCAAGCUCAGCGUGGAUUGGUUUGGGCUCAUCAUGUUGUCCAGUCCCCACUGGCUUUGGCAUCUGAUCUGGGAUUGUGAGGGGGUGCGGUAGGUCUCAAGAGAAAUGCUGAAGGGGCAGCCCUGCUUCCGGCUGCUUAGCAGAGUGGUGGCGACAGGGAAACCCAGGCACAGAUUGCAGAUCCUCCGCCCAGGGAGGAUGACCACGAUAACAAGACUGUCUUACGUUUAUUUAGAAUCUUCCUUUGCCAAGGCAAUCGUAUUUAUAGUAGUUGCUCAUUUUGAGUAUAACUUUUUAAAAACAUUUUGAUUUUCUGAAAUUUGGAUGUCUUACAAGCAACAUGAGGACUUAAUGUAAGGCUUUUUUCCACCUGAAAAUUUGGUGUGAAUUAAAAUUGAUGGUGACUUGGAAUUGAGGAAAUACGUUUUAUUACAUCAUUUAAUCUCUAAAUAAUCUGUGAGGCAGAUAUUAUUAUUCUCUAUUUUCUAGAGGAGGAAACUGACGCUUAGGUGAUUUCCCCAAGGUCAAGGAUUGAGAAAGUGGCAGAGCCAGGACUAAAAUCCAGGUUCCAGUAUUUCUUCCCUGAUAAUGUCUGAGCAGAUUUGUUCAUACACUAGGAAUUUGGGAUUGCAGAGUAAUUGCUCCAGAACUGCUCCAAAAACUGGCUGCCACCCACAGUUACUGGGGCAGAGAAAGCAAGAAGUGACUUUCCUUUUGCUUCAAGUAGAAAUUUGAGGGAAAAGAAAUAGAAAUGUAUAUAGGUUUGUAUGGUGGCUGUUUGUUUGCUUUAGGCCAUAACAGAAGUCCCUUGAUUACUUCAGGAGCUUCAGAAUGUACCAUGCUCAUUCCUCAUACCACGAUCACCUCUGGUACGUGUGAGUUUAAAAUGGUGCUCAUUCGGUCAUUACAGAUUUACUGUUUGAAUUUGUUAUUUUAUUUACUUUAGAAUGCUUUUCAUUUUUAGCAAUCAGGAUUCUAGAGUGUCAUAUCUUUAAAAGUCUAGCAUUUUUAUUUCUGCCAGUUCAAGAGGAUGCAGGAAGAAGUUUAACAGAAGAAACCGUCUUCAAAAUAAUAAAACCCCAAAAUUAUUCUCUACAAUAUCCAGUAAGUGCUGAUUUUCUAGAAAACAGUUGGCAGGGGGAGAGAGAGAAGGAACCACCCCUCCCCCCAAACUCAAAGAAAAAAUAACUACUUUGGACAUAUUAUUUCUAAUCCUUUAAAAAACACUCUUCCAGGAGGGUAUUUCUUUCCAUUAGACAGAUGGACAAACUCAAAGGGUUUCGGUGACUUGCCCACAGCCACACGGCUAACAAGAAGCAUGUGUUCUGAUAGCAUUAAUCAGAAAAGCAUAUAUUGCUGACAUGGAUUCCCUGUUUCAUGAGGGCAGGGACCAUCGCUAUCCUAUUCUCCGCUGUAUCCCAAAGCCUACCUCCUGGCACCCCGUAGGCUUUGAUGACUACCUAUAGGGUGGGAGGAUGGGAGGAAGAAAGAAAGGGAGGCGGAACAGGUGUGUGUGCAGCCAGGCGCUCCGUCCACCCUGCCACUCCUCUUCUUUGGAGACAGUGCUCUGACAAUCUGUUCCAUCAACUCCAUUCUCCUGCAACUCUCAUCACACUUUCACAAGCUGCGCAGAUUACGUUUCCUAGGACUGUGUCCAUCCAUCUGCCUCACUGGAUGCUGAUCCACUCUGGUGUGUUUCCCAGUCAGUCACUCAGCAAAGUGCAACCGAGAGCCAACCAUGUGCCCGGUACUUUCCAAGAUGCCAGGAUAAAACGGCAAUAAUAUGGGAUUCCUGUGCUUGAGGUUUUUACAGCCUGAAAAACAAUGACCUCUGCAUUUCCUACUCAGCACCGCGUGCCAUCAACAUCCAAGAAACACCAAAGGAUGGCCGCAAUUGAGGGACUCUUCUCAAUAGCAUGUUCUUGUGCUUCUUCAUUUAGGACACAUCUCCCAUGCUGGGAAGUACAAGACAAAUACGAGGAGUUGG
rnacentral:lncRNA from 1 species